AUAUUUGUUAUUUGGUAUUGGUUUGGUGUUCUAUUCUUAUACAGAUAUCAGGAACUGUGAGCUGUUAAAUUUUCCAAGUAUUUUGAGUUCAGCAGACUGGUGAUUGAGCAAAGGAGAAACGAACGGCUUUGGAUCUGGGUUUGUGAUUGAAAUUAUGUGCCUGUUAAUUCAAACGUUGAGUCGAUCAGUACCUCGACGUGACAUGAGCGUCAAAGCGUUCAUCAUUAGCAAGCAAACAAACCUGCGGCAUCACGCGGGAGGAAUUG